UACGUAGGGGGCAAGCGUUGUCCGGAAUUAUUGGGCGUAAAGGGCUCGUAGGCGGUUUGUCGCGUCGGGAGUGAAAACCCAGGGCUUAACCCUGGGCUGGCUUCCGAUACGGGCAGACUAGAGGUAUGCAGGGGAGAACGGAAUUCCUGGUGUAGCGGUGAAAUGCGCAGAUAUCAGGAGGAACACCGGUGGCGAAGGCGGUUCUCUGGGCAUUACCUGACGCUGAGGAGCGAAAGUGUGGGGAGCGAACAGG
rnacentral:rRNA from 1 species